rnacentral:pre_miRNA from 1 species
UUAGCCAUCAAAGAGGCUGUGAAAUGUGUACUACUAGAAACAUAUCACAGCCAUUUUUGAUGAGCUGAA